rnacentral:tRNA from 1 species
GGCCUCUUAGUCUAGUGGUUAGGACACUCGACUUUGACUUAGUGUUGAGUUUAAACUCCACUUUCAUCCUCGAGAGACACGAGCUCGAAUCUCGUAGGGGCCU